rnacentral:rRNA from 1 species
UACGUAGGGGGCAAGCGUUGUCCGGAUUUAUUGGGCGUAAAGAGCGUGUAGGCGGUCAGGUAGGUCGGUUGUGAAAACUGGAGGCUCAACCUUCAGAGGUCGACCGAAACCCCCUGGCUAGAGUCCGGGAGAGGAGAGUGGAAUUCCUGGUGUAGCGGUGAAAUGCGCAGAUAUCAGGAAGAACACCAGUGGCGAAGGCGACUACCUGGCCUGUUCUUGACGCUGAGGCGCGAAAGCUAGGGGAGCAAACGGG